GGGUUGUGAGGUUAAGCGACUAAGCGUACACGGUGGAUGCCCUGGCAGUCAGAGGCGAUGAAGGACGUGCUAAUCUGCGAUAAGCGUCGGUAAGGUGAUAUGAACCGUUAUAACCGGCGAUUUCCGAAUGGGGAAACCCAGUGUGUUUCGACACACUAUCAUUAACUGAAUCCAUAGGUUAAUGAGGCGAACCGGGGGAACUGAAACAUCUAAGUACCCCGAGGAAAAGAAAUCAACCGAGAUUCCCCCAGUAGCGGCGAGCGAACGGGGAGCAGCCCAGAGCCUGAAUCAGUGUGUGUGUUAGUGGAAGCGUCUGGAAAGGCGCGCGAUACAGGGUGACAGCCCCGUACACAAAAAUGCACAUGCUGUGAGCUCGAUGAGUAGGGCGGGACACGUGGUAUCCUGUCUGAAUAUGGGGGGACCAUCCUCCAAGGCUAAAUACUCCUGACUGACCGAUAGUGAACCAGUACCGUGAGGGAAAGGCGAAAAGAACCCCGGCGAGGGGAGUGAAAAAGAACCUGAAACCGUGUACGUACAAGCAGUGGGAGCACGCUUCGGCGUGUGACUGCGUACCUUUUGUAUAAUGGGUCAGCGACUUAUAUUCUGUAGCAAGGUUAACCGAAUAGGGGAGCCGAAGGGAAACCGAGUCUUAACUGGGCGUUAAGUUGCAGGGUAUAGACCCGAAACCCGGUGAUCUAGCCAUGGGCAGGUUGAAGGUUGGGUAACACUAACUGGAGGACCGAACCGACUAAUGUUGAAAAAUUAGCGGAUGACUUGUGGCUGGGGGUGAAAGGCCAAUCAAACCGGGAGAUAGCUGGUUCUCCCCGAAAGCUAUUUAGGUAGCGCCUCGUGAAUUCAUCUCCGGGGGUAGAGCACUGUUUCGGCAAGGGGGUCAUCCCGACUUACCAACCCGAUGCAAACUGCGAAUACCGGAGAAUGUUAUCACGGGAGACACACGGCGGGUGCUAACGUCCGUCGUGAAGAGGGAAACAACCCAGACCGCCAGCUAAGGUCCCAAAGUCAUGGUUAAGUGGGAAACGAUGUGGGAAGGCCCAGACAGCCAGGAUGUUGGCUUAGAAGCAGCCAUCAUUUAAAGAAAGCGUAAUAGCUCACUGGUCGAGUCGGCCUGCGCGGAAGAUGUAACGGGGCUAAACCAUGCACCGAAGCUGCGGCAGCGACGCUUAUGCGUUGUUGGGUAGGGGAGCGUUCUGUAAGCCUGUGAAGGUGUGCUGUGAGGCAUGCUGGAGGUAUCAGAAGUGCGAAUGCUGACAUAAGUAACGAUAAAGCGGGUGAAAAGCCCGCUCGCCGGAAGACCAAGGGUUCCUGUCCAACGUUAAUCGGGGCAGGGUGAGUCGACCCCUAAGGCGAGGCCGAAAGGCGUAGUCGAUGGGAAACAGGUUAAUAUUCCUGUACUUGGUGUUACUGCGAAGGGGGGACGGAGAAGGCUAUGUUGGCCGGGCGACGGUUGUCCCGGUUUAAGCGUGUAGGCUGGUUUUCCAGGCAAAUCCGGAAAAUCAAGGCUGAGGCGUGAUGACGAGGCACUACGGUGCUGAAGCAACAAAUGCCCUGCUUCCAGGAAAAGCCUCUAAGCAUCAGGUAACAUCAAAUCGUACCCCAAACCGACACAGGUGGUCAGGUAGAGAAUACCAAGGCGCUUGAGAGAACUCGGGUGAAGGAACUAGGCAAAAUGGUGCCGUAACUUCGGGAGAAGGCACGCUGAUAUGUAGGUGAAGUCCCUUGCGGAUGGAGCUGAAAUCAGUCGAAGAUACCAGCUGGCUGCAACUGUUUAUUAAAAACACAGCACUGUGCAAACACGAAAGUGGACGUAUACGGUGUGACGCCUGCCCGGUGCCGGAAGGUUAAUUGAUGGGGUUAGCGGUAACGCGAAGCUCUUGAUCGAAGCCCCGGUAAACGGCGGCCGUAACUAUAACGGUCCUAAGGUAGCGAAAUUCCUUGUCGGGUAAGUUCCGACCUGCACGAAUGGCGUAAUGAUGGCCAGGCUGUCUCCACCCGAGACUCAGUGAAAUUGAACUCGCUGUGAAGAUGCAGUGUACCCGCGGCAAGACGGAAAGACCCCGUGAACCUUUACUAUAGCUUGACACUGAACAUUGAGCCUUGAUGUGUAGGAUAGGUGGGAGGCUUUGAAGUGUGGACGCCAGUCUGCAUGGAGCCGACCUUGAAAUACCACCCUUUAAUGUUUGAUGUUCUAACGUGGACCCGUGAUCCGGGUUGCGGACAGUGUCUGGUGGGUAGUUUGACUGGGGCGGUCUCCUCCUAAAGAGUAACGGAGGAGCACGAAGGUUGGCUAAUCCUGGUCGGACAUCAGGAGGUUAGUGCAAUGGCAUAAGCCAGCUUGACUGCGAGCGUGACGGCGCGAGCAGGUGCGAAAGCAGGUCAUAGUGAUCCGGUGGUUCUGAAUGGAAGGGCCAUCGCUCAACGGAUAAAAGGUACUCCGGGGAUAACAGGCUGAUACCGCCCAAGAGUUCAUAUCGACGGCGGUGUUUGGCACCUCGAUGUCGGCUCAUCACAUCCUGGGGCUGAAGUAGGUCCCAAGGGUAUGGCUGUUCGCCAUUUAAAGUGGUACGCGAGCUGGGUUUAGAACGUCGUGAGACAGUUCGGUCCCUAUCUGCCGUGGGCGCUGGAGAACUGAGGGGGGCUGCUCCUAGUACGAGAGGACCGGAGUGGACGCAUCACUGGUGUUCGGGUUGUCAUGCCAAUGGCACUGCCCGGUAGCUAAAUGCGGAAGAGAUAAGUGCUGAAAGCAUCUAAGCACGAAACUUGCCCCGAGAUGAGUUCUCCCUGACUCCUUGAGAGUCCUGAAGGAACGUUGAAGACGACGACGUUGAUAGGCCGGGUGUGUAAGCGCAGCGAUGCGUUGAGCUAACCGGUACUAAUGAACCGUGAGGCUUAACCUUACAACGCCGAAG
rnacentral:rRNA from 1 species